CAACUUUCAACAACGGAUCUCUUGGCUCUCGCAUCGAUGAAGAACGCAGCGAAAUGCGUUAAGUAAUGUGAAUUGCAGAUUUUCAGUGAAUCAUCGAAUCUUUGAACGCACCUUGCGCUCCUUGGUAUUCCGAGGAGCAUGCCUGUUUGAGUGUCAUUA
rnacentral:rRNA from 1 species